rnacentral:lncRNA from 1 species
GGGGGAGACACAAAGUCCCCUUCCACUGUGUGUUGUCUGCUGCCCCAUAGCCACAUCUGGACAUUAUAAAUCACGCGUUGUUGGAGUUCAGCAUUUUCUGAUCUUAGCAACAGCCCCAUUCUAAGCAGAAGGGAACCAGUAUGUUUGGUUCAGCUUAAAAACAACUAAAAUCACAGAACCUGCUUAGAAAAGGUGUGACAUUGCUGCCUUUCAGCAGAAGAUCACUCUGGGUGUUGCAGCUGCUGUGUUCUAGCUCAACUGAGUCUGAUGCCUCCAUCUGCCUGCCUCCUGCAUUCCCCAGCUCAUGGAUCUCCAUGCAAAAUACCUUUAGACCAUUUGCACUAGGAUCUGUCUAAUCUCGUUAGAUUUCUCAUUUUCAGCAUAAUACUGUCAUGGUGCUGUGCACCAGUGCCCCAGAUUAGUGGCUUGUCAGAAUGGUGCCCCACUAAUGAGCUAAUCCAAAUAAUGCUCAAAUCCCAAAUCAGAUUUAAGACGAUCCAGUCUGGGUAGAAUUAGGGAGCAAGAAAUCCUGGCCCAAAGAACAAGCUUUCAUUUUCUUUGUUUCACCUUAAAACAAAAUAGGGGGAGUGCCUGUCAAACUCCAGACUUUUUUUUCCCCUUUGUAUGACAUUAACCUCCAUUACACAAUUGGGAAUAAUAAACAGAAAAGAGUACAUCUGUAUGGAUUGGUAUAAAUUUACCUUAGAGGAUUAGAAAACACAGACACACACACACAUAUGCGAGCUUAAUAUAUUCAGCAGAUCUAUGUCCUUCACAGCUUCUAGUUUUCCUGACUUUCCUGUGAGCUUGACCUUAAGACCUUGUAGAUUUUGAAUCUGAUGUAUUUCAG